rnacentral:rRNA from 1 species
GACGAACGCUGGCGGCGUGCUUAGCACAUGCAAGUCGAACGGUGAAGCGCCUUUCUUUUUGGUGGGUGUGGUUGAGAGGCGAACGGGUGAGUAAGACGUGAGUAACCUGUACUUUUGGUUAGGAUAAACGAAUGAAAGCGUGGUUCAUAUGGGAUCUUCUGGGUCUGUGGCGUGAUGGGUAAGGGUCAGCGGUUGCGGAGGUGGGGGCUGGGUUUGAGGCUUAUUAGCUGGUUGGUGGGGUAGUGGCCUAUGAAGGCGUUGCCGGGUAGCCGGCCUGAGAGGGUGACCGGCCACAUUGGGACUGAGAUACGGCCCAGCCUCCUACGGGAGGCAGCAGUGGGGAAUAUUGCAAAAUGGGCGGAAGCCUGAUGCAGCAACGCCGCGUGCGGGAUGAAGGUCUUCGGGUUGUAAACCGCUUUCGCCUGUGACGAAGCGUGAGUGACGGUAAUGGGUAAAGAAGCACCGGCUAACUACGUG